CAGCUUGGUAGGUCCUUUUGGCCACGCUUAGAAAAUCUUCAGUGCGUGCUGUGGAUUUUAAAGGUGAGAGCCUUUUGUCUGCAGAUGUAGGAGCUGUUUUUAAGGAAGCCUCAUUUCUGUCCUGAGGAUUGAAAUCAGAUCAUUUUACCGUACUCUAAAGAGAAAGAGAGGGGACACCAGGAGCAAUGGUUCGUGGAUAAGGGGGAUUUAUUCUUAUCCUGAUUGGCUGGGGGCUGGAUCGUGUACAUUGAGCACAUUGUGAAAGAGCAGAGGUAUGAUAGGCAGGGGAUGUGGUUCGAUGUGCUGGAAGUGACCUUGGAUCCUCCAUUGAGACCCUUUCCAGGUACCAGGGUAGAGUGCCUACUCUGAGUGAUCCAAUCUUCAAGGCUGUGUUUAACGUCAUGUUAUGCUGAAAAACAGCCUUAUGAAGACCAAACAGGUUCAGGGUGGUGCAGCUCAAUGAAGAUAAGGUAAACACCUGCUCCAACUGCGCCACCCACCAUGGGCCCUACCACAGGAAUCCACCACCAGCAGCCUCCAGCUCUGCAGACAGGAGACAUACGCAGAGAUUAUAAUGUCACAAAAACGCAGCCCCAAACAAGUAUCUGGUCUUAUUAAGGAUUUAAAAAUAAUUCAUCUUUGUGUCAAUUUAACCAUGGAAAGUGUUUCUCAGUGGCUCUGAAGGUGCUUUGACAAGUAAACAAAAACUAGUGACUUGUUUGCUUAUUGCACAGUCCUAAAAAACAAACAAACUAGGAUCAUGAAGUAAAAAGUUUACCAUGCAGAGAGAGGCUGAUGUUAGAUUCAUGCCGAGGAAUCACUAACAAGAGUGAAAUUCUAAUAUUUUUAUUUAUACUCUAAUAAAUGGGAUAAUCAUUAAGACAGACAGCUGAUGGAAAUGUCUUGUUGGGAUUUUAAAAAACACUACAAACAAUAUGAAAAUAUUACCUUUAUGUUUUGGUUUCAAAGAGUUUUAUGUUGAUUUGCUAGAACUGAGCAGGAACCUCCAGUGCUGAAAAAUGUAACAAAAACUGCAGUUCUUCCAGUGGCCACUUGAGGCCAGCUCCAAAAGUGAGUUAAAAUCAUUCUUCUAAUGUCGACAUAGCCAUCGUCACAUCAGGAAUAAACACAGUUAUGACCUGAUACAAAAAAUUGUGUUUUUUACAACUCCUUCACUUUGAGUUUGAAAGGUUGAUGCCAGUAGUGUAUGAGUUACUUCAUGGCUUGUUUGUAGAGUGUGUUGGACAAACAAUAUGUACAACAUUAUUGUUAAUUAUACCUGUAGACUGCCCAAGAAACCUGAGUGUCAGUUUUGAGUUAAAUUCUAGUGGUUUUUGUUUUUCAAAUUAAUGUUACUUAGCACUAACUAGCAGAUAUCUCAUUCUGUGAAAUGCAACUAGCUAGCAUUAUCUAAUAAGUUAGAUGUAGCUUCUGGGUCCGAAAACAGGAGCCAGUACCUUAAACUUGCAUUCCUUUUAACCCUUUAAGACCUACCAUAGAACCAAGUC